CUCGGCGCGGCCGCCGUGACUCAGCCGGCACCGGGAGCUCUGCGGGGCCGGGGGCUGCGGUGGGCAGAGAGGCUGGGAUGAGCAGGGACGAGCAGGAAUUCAGGGAUGCUGGGAUGAGCAGGGACGGGCAGGAAUUCAGGGAUGCUGGGAUGAGCAGGGAUUCAGGGAUGCUGGGAUGAGCAGGGACGGGCAGGAAUUCAGGGAUGCUGGGAUGAGCAGGGAUGGGCAGGAUUCAGGGAUGCUGGGAUGAGCAGGGACGAGCAGGAUUCAGGGAUGCUGGGAUGAGCAGGGACGAGUAGGAAUUCAGGGAUGCUGGGAUGAGCAGGGAUGAGCAGGAAUUCAGGGAGGCUGGGAUGAGCAGGAAUUCAGGGAGGCUGGGAUGAGCAGGAAUUCAGGGAGGCUGGGAUGAGCAGGGAUGAGCAGGAAUUCAGGGAGGCUGGGAUGAGCAGGGAUGUGCAGGAUUCAGGGAUGCUGAGCCAUGCAGGGACGUCAGGAUAAACAGGGAUGCAGGGAUGGAAAAGGAUGCAGGGCUGAGCAGGGAGGUGCGGGGAUGGAGGGAUGUGGGGAUGUGCAGGGAUGUACAGGGAUAUGCAGCAAUUUGCAGGGAUGCAGGAAUGUGUGGGGAUGCAGGGAUUUGCGGGGAUGCAGGGAUUUGCAGGGAUCUGUGAGGAUGCAGGGAUUCAGGGAUGCAGCGAUUUGCAGGGAUCUGUGAGGAUGCAGGGAUUCAGGGACGCUGGCACGCCGGGAAAUGCAGGAAUUCAGGAAUGCAGGCAUUCAGGAAUGCAGGAUGCGCAGGGAUGUGCAGGGAUUUGCAGGGAUCUGUGAGGAUGCAGGGAUUCAGGAAUGCAGGAAUUCAGGAAUGCAGGAAUUCAGGAAUGCAGGAUGUGCAGGGCUGCAGAGAUGUGCGGGGCUCCAGGGACUCGGCAAUGACGGAAUUCAGGAAUUCGGAGAUUUAGGGACGCCGGGAUGUGCAGGG
rnacentral:lncRNA from 1 species